rnacentral:rRNA from 1 species
CCUACGGGGGGCAGCAGUGAGGAAUAUUGGUCAAUGGACGAGAGUCUGAACCAGCCAAGUAGCGUGAAGGAUGACUGCCCUAUGGGUUGUAAACUUCUUUUAUAUGGGAAUAAAAUGUUCCACGUGUGGGAUUUUGUAUGUACCAUAUGAAUAAGGAUCGGCUAACUCCGUGCCAGCAGCCGCGGUAAUACGGGGGAUCCGAGCGUUAUCCGGAUUGAUUGGGUUUAAAGGGAGCGUAGGUGGAUUGUUAAGUCAGUUGUGAAAGUUUGCGGCUCAACCGUAAAAUUGCAGUUGAAACUGGCAGUCUUGAGUGCAGUAGAGGUGGGCGGAAUGCGUGGUGUAGCGGUGAAAUGCUUAGAUAUCACGAAGAACUCCGAUUGCGAAGGCAGCUCACUGGACUGCAACUGACACUGAGGCUCGAAAGUGUGGGUAUCAAACAGGAUUAGAUACCCUUGUAGUC